rnacentral:rRNA from 1 species
AUUUAUAACCUCAAGAACGGCGUUUGAGCCCGAUCCCAUCUGAUCUCGGAAGCUAAGCAGGGUUGGGCCUGGUUAGUAUUUGGAUGGGAGACCACCUGGGAAGACCAGGUGCUGUAAGUG